rnacentral:rRNA from 1 species
UACGAAGGGUGCAAGCGUUAAUCGGAAUUACUGGGCGUAAAGCGCGCGUAGGUGGUUCGUUAAGUUAGGAGUGAAAGCCCCGGGCUCAACCUGGGAAUUGCUUCUAAAACUGGCGAGCUAGAGUAUGGUAGAGGGUGGUGGAAUUUCCUGUGUAGCGGUGAAAUGCGUAGAUAUAGGAAGGAACAUCAGUGGCGAAGGCGACCACCUGGACUGAUACUGACACUGAGGUGCGAAAGCGUGGGGAGCAAACAGGAUUAGAUACCCCGGUAGUCCCUGA